rnacentral:rRNA from 1 species
GAUGGGUAGGGGAGCGUCGUCUGCCGGGUGAAGCGGCACUGGAAGGUAGUCGUGGACGGUUGACGAGUGAGAAUGCAGGCAUGAGUAGCGAUACAAACGUGAGAAACGUUUGCGCCGAUUGACUAAGGGUUCCUGGGUCAAGCUGAUCUGCCCAGGGUAAGUCGGGACCUAAGGCGAGGCCGACAGGCGUAGUCGAUGGAUAACCGGUUGAUAUUCCGGUACCCGCUGUGAAGCGUCAAACAUCGAGCAUCGUGAUGCUAAGGCCGUGAAGCCGUUCCGGACCCUUCGGGGAAAGGAAAGUGGUGGAGCCGCCGAACCAAGCGGUUAGUAGGUGAGUGAUGGGGUGACGCAGGAAGGUAGUCCAUCCCGGGCGGUGGUUGUCCCGGGGUAAGGGUGUAGGACGUUGUCCAGGUAAAUCCGGACAGCACAUAGUCUGAGACCUGAUGCCGAGCCGAUUGUGGUGAAGUGGAUGAUCCUAUGCUGUCGAGAAAAGCCUCUAGCGAGUUUCAUGGCGGCCCGUACCCUAAACCGACUCAGGUGGUCAGGUAGAGAAUACCGAGGCGUUCGGGUGAACUAUGGUUAAGGAACUCGGCAAAAUGCCCCCGUAACUUCGGGAGAAGGGGGGCCACAUCCGGUGAGAGGACUUGCUCCUUGAGCUGGGGGUGGCCGCAGAGACCAGCGAGAAGCGACUGUUUACUAAAAACACAGGUCCGUGCGAAGCCGUAAGGCGAUGUAUACGGACUGACGCCUGCCCGGUGCUGGAACGUUAAGGGGACCGGUUAGCUCCAUUUCGGUGGGGCGAAGCUGAGAACUUAAGCGCCAGUAAACGGCGGUGGUAACUAUAACCAUCCUAAGGUAGCGAAAUUCCUUGUCGGGUAAGUUCCGACCUGCACGAAUGGCGUAACGACUUCUCGACUGUCUCAACCAUAGGCCCGGUGAAAUUGCACUACGAGUAAAGAUGCUCGUUUCGCGCAGCAGGACGGAAAGACCCCGGGACCUUUACUACAGUUUGAUAUUGGUGUUCGGUUCGGCUUGUGUAGGAUAGCUGGGAGACUUUGAAGCAGGCACGCCAGUGUUUGUGGAGUCGUCGUUGAAAUACCAGUCUGGUCGUGCUGGAUGUCUAACCUGGGUCCGUGAUCCGGAUCAGGGACAGUGUCUGAUGGGUAGUUUAACUGGGGCGGUUGCCUCCUAAAGAGUAACGGAGGCGCCCAAAGGUUCCCUCAGCCUGGUUGGCAAUCAGGUGUUGAGUGUAAGUGCACAAGGGAGCUUGACUGUGAGACCGACGGGUCGAGCAGGGACGAAAGUCGGGACUAGUGAUCCGGCGGUGGCUUGUGGAAGCGCCGUCGCUCAACGGAUAAAAGGUACCCCGGGGAUAACAGGCUGAUCUUCCCCAAGAGUCCAUAUCGACGGGAUGGUUUGGCACCUCGAUGUCGGCUCGUCGCAUCCUGGGGCUGGAGUCGGUCCCAAGGGUUGGGCUGUUCGCCCAUUAAAGCGGUACGCGAGCUGGGUUUAGAACGUCGUGAGACAGUUCGGUCCCUAUCCGCUGUGCGCGUAGGAGUCUUGAGAAGGGCUGUCCCUAGUACGAGAGGACCGGGACGGACGAACCUCUGGUGUGCCAGUUGUCCUGCCAAGGGCAUGGCUGGUUGGCUACGUUCGGGAGGGAUAACCGCUGAAAGCAUCUAAGCGGGAAGCCUGCUUCGAGAUGAGGACUCCCACCCACUUGAUGGGGUAAGGCUCCCAGUAGACGACUGGGUUGAUAGGCCGGAUCUGGAAGCCAGGUAACUGGUGGAGGUGACCGGUACUAAUAGGCCGAGGGCUUGUCCUC